rnacentral:rRNA from 1 species
GACAGAGGGUGCAAACGUUGCUCGGAAUCACUGGGCGUAAAGCGUGCGCAGGCGGUUUUGUAAGUCUGUCGUGAAAUCCCCGGGCUCAACCUGGGAAUGGCGAUGAAGACUGCAAGGCUAGAAUCUGGCAGAGGGGGGGGUAGAAUUCCACGUGUAGCAGUGAAAUGCGUAGAGAUGUGGAGGAACACCGAUGGCGAAGGCAGCCCCCUGGGUCAAGAUUGACGCUCAUGCACGAAAGCGUGGGGAGCAAACGAGGAUUAGAGUAC